rnacentral:rRNA from 1 species
UAGGGAAUCUUCCACAAUGGACGCAAGUCUGAUGGAGCAACGCCGCGUGAGUGAAGAAGGUCUUCGGAUCGUAAAACUCUGUUGUUAGAGAAGAACACGAGUGAGAGUAACUGUUCAUUCGAUGACGGUAUCUAACCAGCAAGUCACGGCUAACUACGUGUCA